rnacentral:misc_RNA from 1 species
GAUGAAGAACGCAGUGAAAUGCGAUAACUAGUGUGAAUUGCAGAAUUCCGUGAAUCAUCGAGUCUUUGAACGCACAUUGCGCCCCCUGGUAUUCCGGGGGGCAUGCCUGUCCGAGCGUCAUUGCUGCCCAUCAAGCACGGCUUGUGUGUUGGGUCGUCGUCCCCUCUCCGGGGGGGACGGGCCCCAAAGGCAGCGGCGGCACCGCGUCCGAUCCUCGAGCGUAUGGGGCUUUGUCACCCGCUCUGUAGGCCCGGCCGGCGCUUGCCGAACGCAAAUCAAUCUUUUUCCAGGUUGACCUCGGAUCAGGUAGGGAUACCCGCUGAACUUAAGCAUAUCAAUAAGCGGAGG